GGGGGAAAUGAGGAGAGAGGGGGAGAGGUGAUGAUGAAUUUCACCAUGGAUCGAUAAAGCUGAUGGAUAUCUUCGGGUGUCAGAGGCACAGUACAAGAUUGGAAAAUAAUCGUGUGGACAGAGACAAGGUAAUUUGCUGCAAUAAUCAUGAAUCUAAGAGCCUCCACGUCCCGCGCGCUGCUCGCGUUCCGUCCCGGAGGGACGGUUCCGCCGCUGGAUGCGUUGCAACGUUCGUCCCGUCCCGUAGCCCGUAUCCACGAGACAAGGGAUGCGUUGGCCAGUCACGCGCCCGGGCGACAGAAGCAGGAGGCUGCUCGCAAGGAUGUGGAGAGGGCAUUCGGGGUUCUUCAAGCACGCUUCAACAUCAUCAAAGGCCCGGCUCGUUCGUGGUUCAUGGAGAGCAUGGUCGACAUCAUGUAUACGUGCAUAAUCUUGCACAACAUGAUUGUCCAAUACGAAGGACCCGAGGCGGGAAAUUG